rnacentral:misc_RNA from 1 species
CAUUGUGGUUGUAGGGGCUGUGCAAGUGGGGAUUGAUGGCGACUUUGUAUAAAAUCCUCCUUUUUUCAUGGGCCUAACUGUUUGACAGAAACUGAGACUGAAUGAAGUCUAAGGUGGACCUUGACCAAAUUUCGUUCUCAUCAAAUUUUCUUCUCAAAGAUUCAAACUGAGAAUAUGGCACAUAGUUGGGUACCUUUUCAUACCCUGGCGAGAUAAGAUAAAUAAAACAAUAGGAAAUUGUGCCCAACUAUUGGGUGAACCUGGCAGUUCUAUUUGAGGGUUGUUUGAUGAGAUUUGAACUAAAAGUAGAUUAUUGACUGGUAUUAUUUCCCUUUUUGUCCGGAAGACAU